AUUGGGUCUUGCUCUCACUUUCCAUGCCUGCCAUCAUACCAGCUUAUCGUCGUCCAAGAAGCUACUUCUUUUAGUGGAAAAGGAUAGACCAUUGCCAAAGUUUGGUGAAUGGGAUGUCAAUGACCCGGCCUCAGCUGAGGGGGUUCCCAAUAAUCGUCAACAAGGCUCGGAACGAGAAAAAGACGGUGGAAAGCCUGACUCACCACCAAAGGAUGACUCAAAAUAUAACCACAGAGCAGUUCUUGGAAAGCCUCACUCUCAGAAGAAAUGGUGUUGUUGCAUACAAUCUGCUUAUGCAGAAUCAUGAGGCUGCCCUUAGCCUAUAAUUGCAUGAAGAGGAAACCAUUGUUUGAUGAUGCCCCAAAAUGUAUUCCAGAGGACUGGAGCUGUAUACAGAAGCAAUGAUGGAUCCUACUGGAAUCUGUUUGUUGUGUCCUAAACGUGGUGAUGAAAUAAUGAUGUGCACUUAGAAAAGUUUAAAGAAUAAUGUUAUAUUAUGUUCGGUAUUCUGGGGUAAUUACUGGGGUGCUUCUCUCCUUUAUCUGAAUUCAAUG